UACGUAGGGGGCGAGCGUUGUCCGGAGUUACUGGGCGUAAAGGGCACGCAGGCGGUCUGCCAAGUUUGCCGUGACAGUCCUCGGCUUAACUGAGGAAGGCCGGUGAAAACUGGGAGACUUGAGGGCCAGAGAGGGACAUAGAAUUCCGGGUGGAGUGGUGAAAUGCGUAGAGAUCCGGAGGAACACCAAAGGCGCAGGCAGUGUCCUGGGAAGUACCUGACGCUCAGGGACGAAAGCUAGGGGAGCGAACGGG
rnacentral:rRNA from 1 species